rnacentral:rRNA from 1 species
AUUGAACGCUGGCGGCAGGCCUAACACAUGCAAGUCGAGCGAGAGGCGGACGGGUGAGUAAUGUAUGGGGACUGCCCGCUAGAGGGGGAUAACUACUGGAAACGGUGGCUAAUACAGCAUACUGUCGGAUAACCCAUAUGGGAUUAGCUAGUAGGUAAGGUACUGGCUUACCUAGGCGACGAUCCCUAGCUGGUCUGAGAGGAUGAUCAGGCACACUGGGACUGAGACACGGCCCAGACUCCUACGGAGGCAGCAGUGGGGAAUAGUGGACAAUGGGGGCAAGCCUGAUGCAGCCAUGCCGCGUGUAUGAAGAAGGCCCUAGGGUUGUAAAGUACUUUCAGUCGGGAGGCGUUACCGACAGAAGAAGCACCGGCUAACUCCGUGCCAGCAGCCGCGGUAAUAC